rnacentral:lncRNA from 1 species
AUGUCACAGUGCCACCCCUCUCCCUGUCCCUGGGGUGACUCUGGGCAGUGCCACCCCUGUCCCCGUCCCGUGUCCCGGUGCCACUCCUGUCCCAUGUCCCAGUGCCACCCCUGUCCCUGUCCCGGUGCCACCCCUGUCCAUGUUCCUGGGGUGACUCCGGGCAGUGCCACCUCUGUCCCGUGUCCCAGUGCCAACCCCAUCCUGUCCCCUGUCCUGGUGCCACCCCUGUCCCUGUCCCGUGUCCUGCUGCCACCCCUGUCCCUGUCCCUGUCCCAGUGCCACCCCCAUCCUGUCCCGUGUCCUGGUGCCACUCCUGUCCCAUGUCCCGGUGCCACCCCCAUCCUGUCCCUGUCCCAGUGCCACCCCUGUCCCGUGUCCCACUGCCACCCCCGUCCCUGUCCUGUGUCCCGGUGCCACCCCCAUUGUGUCCCAGUGCCAGCCCUGUCCCUGUCCCUGUCCCAGUGCCACCCCCAUCCUGUCCUGUGUCCCGGUGCCACCCCUGUCCUGUGUCCCAGUGCCACCCCUGUCCUGUCCCCUGUCCCGGUGCCACCCCGUGUGCCCGCAGUGCC